UACAGAGGGUGCAAGCGUUAAUCGGAAUUACUGGGCGUAAAGCGAGCGUAGUCGGUUAUUUAAGUCGGAUGUGAAAUCCCCGGGCUUAACCUGGGAACUGCAGUCGAGACUGUCUAGCUAGAGUAUGGGAGAGGGAAGUGGAAUUUCAGGUGUAGCGGUGAAAUGCGUAGAUAUCUGAAGGAACAUCAGUGGCGAAAGCGACUUCCUGGACCAAUACUGACGCUCAUGUGCGAAAGCGUGGGGAGCAAACAGG
rnacentral:rRNA from 1 species